CGCGCUCUCACGCCCGGUCUGGCGGGCGCUCAAGUCCCACUCUCUCAGAGGUCCCUGCCUGACUCCUGAGGCGACCCCAUCCUCCUCACACCCACCCACCCACGAGGCCAAGUGCAAAACCAGGGACCUUCUUCAGUCCGUGGGAAGGCCGGGCCUUAGUCUGCCUCUGGGAAGUGCCCGCCAUGCCAAAACGCGGUCGGAGGUUCGCAGGCCUGGGUGCUGGACCAGGAAGAAGCGCGUCUCCCCGACCCCGGGCACCUGCUCCUGAGAGCUGCACUCUAGACGGCUCUGAGCCUGAUAGUCUGGGCACGGAGCCUCACCCCUACCCGACGUGGGGACUGCUGCCUGUUUUUGCCUUCCCGCCUUGACAAGAGGCCUGUUGCCUGUGGGCGUGCUGGUCAGUGGGGGCUAGCGGCGAAAGUGUAAUGUGCGCGAGGAGGCCGUAGAUCAUUCUCCAAUUCGGAUAGUCCCUCGUGGAGGGCUCCUGGAACUCUUUCGCCUCGUCCGGCUUGGUGAGGCUUUUUACAGCAAGUUUUCAGACCGCCCGGACUUGCCCAGGCUCUCCCAUUUAUGUGACUGAGGAACUGAAAAAUCCGGCGGGAAGAAGGGAGUCCAGCGCGGCAGGAGCAGGGGCAUGGGGUUGCCAAGCCGGAGCUGAAACUGGGGCGGGAGCCACACCUCACUCUUUCGAAAAAGCUGGGCACUGCGUUCGGACCUUCGGAAACUGAGAGAGCGAAAUAGUCCGGCGUAGAGGCGGGGCGCCUCCAAGGCCAUGCUUACUAAUUCCACGCUGCAGCGCAUACCCACUUGACAAAUAAAGAGAUUGAGUUGCCCCGG